CACCUGUUCCCAUUCCGAACACAGAAGUUAAGCUCUUUAGCGCCGAUGGUACUUGGUGGGAAGCUGCCUGGGAGAGUAGGACGUAGCCACGUA
rnacentral:rRNA from 1 species